CUUCACUGCCUAGUCUCCCUUCACUGCCUGUGCCUAUUCCUGCAAUUCCUAAGGCCAUUCCAACCACUACUCCAUGAAAGAACUAAAACUUGUAUUCUUUGCUCUUGAACUUGUAACUUAGUGGUUAAGUUUCCUGCAUCUAAAUUUGGGUUCUGCUUUCUACUCUUCCACUGCAUGUACUAUCUAUGUAUUGUUUAUAAUAUUGUUUGUGUGUAACUCUACGUGCCUCUCUUGUGGAUUCCUUUUGUAACUGUGUGUGUCCUUAAAUAACAAGUUAUCUUCAUUUUUUAGCAUGUUAUUGAAUUCUUAGAUACUACAUGGUAUUGUUUACUUUACUCCAUAUCUAUAUCCUCAUCCAUUGUUACUCAAGUUUAAAGUACCAAUAAACCAAACCCAACUUAGUAGUUUAUUACCUUUUUAUAUAGUUGGAUGAUGAAUAUUUUAUAUCUCAAAAAAAAUUAGGAAGCCAAUUUGCAUGAGUGAAUAUUAUAAGUUUCGUUAAAUUUAUUAAUUCAACAAUUAUUUCAAGGCAUGAAAUCUUUUGUGACAUAUAUAAACAAGACAAUUCAAAUUAUUUAACUUGGUUUUUAAAUUGUUCUUACCUUAGGGACCAAAAUCGUACGGAACUGGCGGCGAAAGCAGAGACAGAAGUGGAUCGUGGACAACUUCUUUUUCUUCUUUCCUUCCCCCUUCCUAUUCUUCUCUUUUCCUUUUGUAGGAGCAAAAACACUCUUUUUCUUAUUAUUUUUUUUAUUUUAUAAUUUUUUUUGUUAUAGGUAAUUAGAUUCAAAAUUUUAAGAUUUAAGUAAAAAGGACAAUUUUAAAACUUGGUUUUAAAGCUUAGGGAGGAUUUUGUAUGCAAUAAAAGGUUGGGCAUGAAAAAAUUUUUGACCUAUACCUACUUUAACCCUUUAGAAAUCAAGAGCCACAUAUAUUUUUGAGUAAAGUAUCGUUUUUGUCUCCAACGUUUGGGGUAAGUCCUAUUUGUGUCCCUAACGUUUAAAUCGUCCUACUUGUAUCCUUAACGUUUAUAAAAGUGAUUCAAUGUUAUCCUACUAUCAAUUAUACUAAUAAAUUAGAUUAUAUUUUUCAAUGAUUCUCAAUUAGAUCUCACUUGGAUGUAUUCGAUUUUAAUAUUAUACCCACUAUUUGUAUUUAGAUUCAAUUAUGUCCAUAGAAAAGUGAAUUAUGUAAAUGUUGUAGGAAUUAGUUUCAACAUUUGAUGAGCUACUUUUUGGAGUAGAUCAUUGAUUCUAUCCCAGACAUUUAUAUUCUAACUUCAAGAAGAGAUUUUUAAAACUCAAACUAUAGCGCUCAUGAUGUGUAAUUGACGGCAGGAUAACAUUGAAUCACUUUUAAAAACGUUAGGGAUACAAAUAGGACGAUUUAAACGUUAGAGACACAAAUAGAUUUACCCCAAACGUUAGGACAAAAACAAUAAUUUACUCUAUAUUUUUUGUACUAGUUGGCCAUAAAGGGACAAAACUUACCUUAUCUAGUUCUAGUGGUUACAUAGAGCACCCUCUCUCUCAGUAAAUUCGUCUCCAAAUAUGACAUUAUACCUCGUAUGGAGUUUGAUGGUUCAAUUAUUUGAGUAAUCGGCCUUUGCUGAGAUAUUACAGAAGCAAUACAUUUCGUGUACAAGGUAUAUAAUGCCUUGUCAACUUAUCAAGAUUCAACUAUAACCCCACAAAAUCAUGAUGCAAAUCACU
rnacentral:lncRNA from 1 species